CCUGCUGGCCGGCGGCCUGCUGCCCGCCCUGCUGGGCUGUCUGGAGGAGGAGUGCGUGGAGACGGUGACGUACGGCUUGACGACGCUGCUGCUUCUCCCGGUCACCGACGCCGACCUCUGGUCGCAGGUGGACGGCGUGCGCCUGACCCGACUGACUGCCGAGCUCUGCCGCUCCCCGGACCAGCGGCUACUGAACCUGGCCACCCUGCUGCACCACCAGCUGCCGAGCUCUGCCGCUCCCCCGACCAGCGGCUACUGAACCUGGCCAUCCUGCUGCACCACCAGCUGCCCAGCUGUGCCGCUCCCCCAACCAGCGGCUGCUGAACUUGGCCACCCUGCUGCACCACCAGCUGCCGAGCUCUGCCGCUCCCCCAACCAGCGGCUGCUGAACUUGGCCACCCUGCUGCACCACCAGCUGCCAAGCUCUGCCGCUCCCCCGACCAGCGGCUGCUGAA